GAUGAACGCUGGCGGCGUGCCUAAUACAUGCAAGUCGAACGCAUAGCGAAAGGUGCUUGCACCUUUCAAGUGAGUGGCGAACGGGUGAGUAACACGUGGACAACCUGCCUCAAGGCUGGGGAUAACAUUUGGAAACAGAUGCUAAUACCGAAUAAAACUUAGUGUCGCAUGACACAAAGUUAAAAGGCGCUUCGGCGUCACCUAGAGAUGGAUCCGCGGUGCAUUAGUUAGUUGGUGGGGUAAAGGCCUACCAAGACAAUGAUGCAUAGCCGAGUUGAGAGACUGAUCGGCCCAGUUGGGACUGAGACACGGCCCAAACCCCUACGGGAGGCUGCGGGAGGAAACCUUCCAAAAGGGGGGAAAGCCGGAUGGAGCAACGCCGGGUGGGGGAAGAAGGCUUUGGGGUGGUAAAGCCCUGUUGUAUGGGAAAAAAAGGUAGAAAGGGAAAGGAUUUUAGUUGGACGGUACCAAACCAGAAAGGGACGGCAAAAUACGG
rnacentral:rRNA from 1 species